UUUUUUUUUUUUUUUUUUUUAACUCACUCUAUCUGGUAAAAAGUGUUUUAUUGCUUCUUUUAACAUGACAAAGAGUUUGAUUGUGUUCCUUUGUUGUCCAGUUUGGAUGUCUACUCUCCUUUGGUUGAAAGCUGCUGUUUUUGUUGAGAUCUCAAAAACUUAUGAGCUAUUGAACAUUUCAUUAUUAUUUUCUUUGUGUUCUGAAGAGGUAACAAAGGCUUAUGGAUCUCUAAUGUACUAGCACCCUGAAUUUAUUUUACAGUUGGACAAAAUAAGCACUACUGUUAUAAUAUACAUAUAUAUUCAGGUUUUAAUUUGUGGUGUUAUGUUCAGCAUAAGUUAAGGUUCUAGUCAGUGCAUUUAUUGUUCAAGGUUGUUAUAGCUGAUAGUAACAUUGGAUAUAUGCCCCACUAUCUUUUAAAUAAUUCUUAAGUAAGUCUCAAAUCCUCUGACAAUACUUGACCAGCACCAUACCUGCUUUCAUGACUAAAACAGCUAAAACAGUGCAUUUAUUGAAAUACAUGAUCAUUUGAAAGUGUUUUCUUUGACAAAUUUUUUUAUUUUUUUUUUGCUUUGUAUGUUUAUUAUUAGAUUGCCAAUGAAAGGAUGUUUUGACCUACUGUCACUACUGUGCUAGCUGAGAAGGUCAAAGGAGUGCCAGUUCUUUAACUUGAAAUGUUGCCAGUUGAAGAAUAUUGUUAUUGUUUUAAAAAUAUCUUUUUUUUGUUAAGUCUUUCAACAAGUUUGUUUUUUUCCUGAAAGAAACUGCAACUUAUGUUGUGAUAUGAUGUAAUAUGGUUGUCAUUGUACAUAGUGAAUGAAGGCAACAUUUCACUUGUUAGCAUAAUCACUUUAUAAAUUAGUAGUAAUAAUUAGUUUGGACAAAUGUAUGAAUAAUGAUUGUGAUUAGUGUUUUAAGUACAUGCCUAUAAGAUGUUUUUUUUUGAGUGUACAUAUAGCAAGUAUUUUCUUCUGAAAUGGAAACAAAAAAAAAAGUUGAUUAAUCAAAAUAAAAUUGUUUAAAAAUUAAAGUGCCUUUAGUUUGAAACUGUAAGAUAACUUUUUUUUAUGCAAUACACACUUUAUUGAUAAACUAUUUUUUUCUUAAUGUUUUAUAUUGUAAAUCUAGUAAAUUCCAGCUGUAUGUAGUAUUGUUUAAAUAUUCCAUUAUAUUGCAGUCAUAGUUUAUUAAACAUUUUUCAUGUCAAGAUGUGUACAGUAUAUAAAAUUAGCUUUAUUGAAAUCAUAUUUUGAGAAAUAAAUAGACAAGAAUUUAAAUCACAUUGUUGAAUUUAUUACACACAUCUGCAAAAAAAAACAACAACUUUUUAGAAGAUGGUUACACAACUUUCCAUGAUUUUUUUUUUAUACAAAGAGAUCACUGCUGCUACUAAUAAAAAAGUACCCCUAUGUUAGUUCUUACCCUUAAAGUAAAAAAAAAAAAAAAAGGCAGAACA